rnacentral:rRNA from 1 species
UACGGCUACAUCACGUUGAAACACCGGUUCCUGUACGAUCAACGAAGUUAAGCAACGUCAAGCCUGGUCAGUACCUAGAUGGGUGACCGCUUAGGAAUAACAAAUGGUGUA